UACGUAGGGUGCAAGCGUUGUCCGGAAUUAUUGGGCGUAAAGGGCUCGUAGGCGGUCCAUCACGUCGGGAGUGAAAAGCUGGGGCUUAACCCCAGUCCUGCUUCCGAUACGGGUGGACUAGAGGUAGGCAGGGGAGAACGAUCCUGGUGUAGCGGUGAAAUGCGCAGAUAUCAGGAGGAACACCGGUGGCGAAGGCGGGACUCUGGGCCGAUACUGACGCUGAGGAGCGAAAGCGUGGGGAGCAAACAGG
rnacentral:rRNA from 1 species